GUCUACAGCCAUACCACCCUGAAUGCUCCCGAUCUUGUUCCAUCUCAGAAGCUAAGCAGAGUCUGGCCUGGUUAGUACUAGAUGGGAUUCCAUCUGGGAAUACUGGGGAGGGGGGAGC
rnacentral:rRNA from 1 species